rnacentral:rRNA from 1 species
GACGAAGGGGGCUAGCGUUGUUCGGAAUUACUGGGCGUAAAGCGAGUGUAGGUGGUUGUCCAAGUUGGAUGUGAAAGCCUUGAGCUCAACUCAAGAAAUGCAUUCAGGACUGGGCGGCUAGAGGACCGGAGAGGAUAGUGGAAUUCCCAGUGUAGUGGUGAAAUACGUAGAGAUCCGGAAGAACACCGGUGGCGAAGGCGGC